AUGCCUGGCUAAUUUUUAAAUUUUUUGUAACGAUGAUGUCUCACUAUAUUCCCUAGGCUGGUCUGGAACUCCUGGGCUGAAGCUAUCCUCUUGCCUUGGCCUCCCAAAAUGCUGGAAUUACAGGCAUGGGCCACUACACCUGGCGAUCUGUGUCUUAUAUGCUGCCAUCUUUGACCUGUGGCUCUUGGGUUGUGGGAGUCCCUGCCCAUUCAGCUGGGAGAUGUGCUGUGCUGAAGGACUCCAGGCACAGGGAAAGCUUAGUCCAUUGUUUAGGAUGAAAAAUAACAACCAGAUGAACGAAAGAAGGAUCAUCAGGAGUGAUGAGUAAUGCGCUCCAGAUGUGGCUAUGGAGAACUGGUUCUGAUGGGCACCGCUGCCUGCGAGUAGUCACCUUGUGGGGAGACCCCCUUAUUUCGACAAGGUUGCGGUGACACAAUUUUUUGCAGCCUUCUUUUGGAAUUGUCUUCAGGGUGUGUGACUCAGUUUUUUGAUCGUCCUUAUUGGUGGUAAAUCUUUAUGCUUUGCUUUUUUGGAAUCAGUCAGCCUCUGC
rnacentral:lncRNA from 1 species